UCUUCCGUAGUAUAGUGGUCAGUAUAUGAGCUUGUCAUCUUAGCGAUAAGACCUCGCUCGGGACCCGGGUUCAAUUCCCGGCGGGAGAG